rnacentral:rRNA from 1 species
CACUAUCGUUAACUGAAUACAUAGGUUAACGAGGCGAACCGGGGGAACUGAAACAUCUAAGUACCCCGAGGAAAAGAAAUCAACCGAGAUUCCCCCAGUAGCGGCGAGCGAACGGGGAGCAGCCCAGAGUCUGAAUCAGCUUGUGUGUUAGUGGAACGGUCUGGAAAGUCCGACGGUACAGGGUGAUAGUCCCGUACACCAAAAUGCACAGGCUGUGAACUCGAAGAGUAGGGCGGGACACGUGGUAUCCUGUCUGAAUAUGGGGGGACCAUCCUCCAAGGCUAAAUACUCCUGACUGACCGAUAGUGAACCAGUACCGUGAGGGAAAGGCGAAAAGAACCCCGGCGAGGGGAGUGAAAAAGAACCUGAAACCGUGUACGUACAAGCAGUGGGAGCACCUUCGGGUGUGACUGCGUACCUUUUGUAUAAUGGGUCAGCGACUUAUAUUCUGUAGCAAGGUUAACCGUAUAGGGGAGCCGCAGGGAAACCGAGUCUUAACUGGGCGUUAAGUUGCAGGGUAUAGACCCGAAACCCGGUGAUCUAGCCAUGGGCAGGUUGAAGGUUGGGUAACACUAACUGGAGGACCGAACCGACUAAUGUUGAAAAAUUAGCGGAUGACUUGUGGCUGGGGGUGAAAGGCCAAUCAAACCGGGAGAUAGCUGGUUCUCCCCGAAAGCUAUUUAGGUAGCGCCUCGUGAACUCAUCUUCGGGGGUAGAGCACUGUUUCGGCUAGGGGGUCAUCCCGACUUACCAACCCGAUGCAAACUACGAAUACCGAAGAAUGUUAUCACGGGAGACACACGGCGGGUGCUAACGUCCGUCGUGAAGAGGGAAACAACCCAGACCGCCAGCUAAGGUCCCAAAGUCAUGGUUAAGUGGGAAACGAUGUGGGAAGGCACAGACAGCCAGGAUGUUGGCUUAGAAGCAGCCAUCAUUUAAAGAAAGCGUAAUAGCUCACUGGUCGAGUCGGCCUGCGCGGAAGAUGUAACGGGGCUAAACCAUGCACCGAAGCUGCGGCAGCGACACUAUGUGUUGUUGGGUAGGGGAGCGUUCUGUAAGCCUGCGAAGGUGUGCUGUGAGGCAUGCUGGAGGUAUCAGAAGUGCGAAUGCUGACAUAAGUAACGAUAAAGCGGGUGAAAAGCCCGCUCGCCGGAAGACCAAGGGUUCCUGUCCAACGUUAAUCGGGGCAGGGUGAGUCGACCCCUAAGGCGAGGCCGAAAGGCGUAGUCGAUGGGAAACAGGUUAAUAUUCCUGUACUUGGUGUUACUGCGAAGGGGGGACGGAGAAGGCUAUGUUAGCCGGGCGACGGUUGUCCCGGUUUAAGCAUGUAGGCUGGUUGUCCAGGCAAAUCCGGAUAAUCAAGGCUGAGGUGUGAUGACGAGGCACUACGGUGCUGAAGUAACAAAUGCCCUGCUUCCAGGAAAAGCCUCUAAGCAUCAGGUAACAUCAAAUCGUACCCCAAACCGACACAGGUGGUCAGGUAGAGAAUACCAAGGCGCUUGAGAGAACUCGGGUGAAGGAACUAGGCAAAAUGGUGCCGUAACUUCGGGAGAAGGCACGCUGGUGUGUAGGUGAAGUCCCUGCGGAUGGAGCUGAGACCAGUCGAAGAUACCAGCUGGCUGCAACUGUUUAUUAAAAACACAGCACUGUGCAAACACGAAAGUGGACGUAUACGGUGUGACGCCUGCCCGGUGCCGGAAGGUUAAUUGAUGGGGUUAUCCGUAAGGAGAAGCUCUUGAUCGAAGCCCCGGUAAACGGCGGCCGUAACUAUAACGGUCCUAAGGUAGCGAAAUUCCUUGUCGGGUAAGUUCCGACCUGCACGAAUGGCGUAAUGAUGGCCAGGCUGUCUCCACCCGAGACUCAGUGAAAUUGAACUCGCUGUGAAGAUGCAGUGUACCCGCGGCAAGACGGAAAGACCCCGUGAACCUUUACUAUAGCUUGACACUGAACAUUGAGCCUUGAUGUGUAGGAUAGGUGGGAGGCUUUGAAGCGUGGACGCCAGUCUGCGUGGAGCCAACCUUGAAAUACCACCCUUUAAUGUUUGAUGUUCUAACGUUGGCCCCUUACCGGGGUUGCGGACAGUGUCUGGUGGGUAGUUUGACUGGGGCGGUCUCCUCCCAAAGCGUAACGGAGGAGCACGAAGGUUAGCUAAUCCUGGUCGGACAUCAGGAGGUUAGUGCAAUGGCAUAAGCUAGCUUGACUGCGAGCGUGACGGCGCGAGCAGGUGCGAAAGCAGGUCAUAGUGAUCCGGUGGUUCUGAAUGGAAGGGCCAUCGCUCAACGGAUAAAAGGUACUCCGGGGAUAACAGGCUGAUACCGCCCAAGAGUUCAUAUCGACGGCGGUGUUUGGCACCUCGAUGUCGGCUCAUCACAUCCUGGGGCUGAAGUAGGUCCCAAGGGUAUGGCUGUUCGCCAUUUAAAGUGGUACGCGAGCUGGGUUUAGAACGUCGUGAGACAGUUCGGUCCCUAUCUGCCGUGGGCGCUGGAGAAUUGAGGGGGGCUGCUCCUAGUACGAGAGGACCGGAGUGGACGCAUCACUGGUGUUCGGGUUGUCAUGCCAAUGGCACUGCCCGGUAGCUAAAUGCGGAAGAGAUAAGUGCUGAAAGCAUCUAAGCACGAAACUUGCCCCGAGAUGAGUUCUCCCUGAGACUUUAAGUCUCCUGAAGGAACGUUAAAGACGAUGACGUUGAUAGGCCGGGUGUGUAAGCGCAGCGAUGCGUUGAGCUAACCGGUACUAAUGAACCGUGAGGCUUAACCUUACAACGCCGAAG